rnacentral:misc_RNA from 1 species
AACGCAUAUUGCACUCUCUGGUAAUCCGGAGAGUAUGCCUGUUUGAGGGUCAGUAAAUAAUAAUUAUCAUGAAUCUUUGAUUUAUGGAAUUGGGCUUUUAUUUCGAUAGAUUUAUGGCCUUAAAUUUACGUUAUGGGCUUGUCAUAUAAAAUCCGAUCUAAAGGAGCAAUUAAACAUUCUCAUUAGCGCGGAUUUUUACAAGCUGUUAUGAUCUUUGGUUGCUUUCAGCAUUUUUACGAGUGUGAAACCAAGAUUGUAAGUUUACUCUAACAAUGACCUCAAAUCAGGCAAGAAUACCCGCUGAACUUAA